rnacentral:rRNA from 1 species
GCGUUGUUCGGAUUUACUGGGCGUAAAGGGUGCGUAGGUGGUUGGGUAAGUUUGAUGUGAAAUCUCCGAGCUUAACUCGGAAAUGGCAUUGAAUACUAUCUGGCUAGAGGUUUGGAGGGGGGACUGGAAUUCUUGGUGUAGCAGUGAAAUGCGUAGAUAUCAAGAGGAACACCAGUGGCGAAGGCGAGUCCCUGGACAACACCUGACACUGAGGCACGAAAGCUAG